rnacentral:rRNA from 1 species
GUGAGGAAUUUUCCGCAAUGGGCGAAAGCCUGACGGAGCAAUGCCGCGUGAAGGAUGAAGGCCUAUGGGUUGUAAACUUCUUUUCUCAGAAAAGAAUUAUGACGGUAUCUGAGGAAUAAGCAUCGGCUAACUCUGUGCCAGCAGCCGCGGUAAGACAGAGGAUGCAAGCGUUAUCCGGAAUGAUUGGGCGUAAAGCGUCUGUAGGUUGUUUAAAAAGUAUUCUGUCAAAGAUUAGGGGUUAACCCUAGAUAGGCAGAAUAAACUUUUAAGCUAGAGUUUGGUAGAGGCAGAGGGAAUUCCCGGUGGAGCGGUGAAAUGCGUAGAUAUCGGGAGGAACACCAAAGGCGAAGGCACUCUGCUGGGCCAAUACUAACACUGAGAGACGAAAGCGAGGGGAGCAAAUGGGAUUAGAAACCCCUGUAGUCC